GUUGGCUAAUGGAGUCCCUAACCUCCCAGGCGGUCUGCUUUGGAAAAAGGAUGGUUUUAAAUAUCUGGGCAUUUUUUUAGGAAAUGACACAGUAGUGCAAAAAAACUGGGAGGGUGCACUUGAAAAAGUAAAAGGGCGUCUUGAAAAGUGGAAAUGGCUGCUCCCAAGAAUGUCUUAUAGGGGGCGUACACUCAUAAUUAAUAAUUUGGUAGCAUCAUGUUUUUGGCACCGGCUGGCCUGUGUGGACCCCCCACCAGACCUAUGCAAAAUACAAUUUGUUGGUUCAUUGUUUUGGGGGAUAAUUUACACUGGGUCCCUCAGGCAGUUUUGUUUCUGCCAAAGGACGAAGGUGGACAUGGCCUUAUGCAGAUGCAAAGUAGGAUUGCAGCCUUUCGGAUGCAGUUCAUAAAGAGACUUCUGAGUGGGUCUUCAGAUGUUGCCUGGCGGGCUGUAAGCUGUAGUAUUUUAAAAACUUGUGGAGGAUUGGGGCUAGAUAAGUCCCUGUUCCUGAUGACCCCCCAUUUAAUGGACACCUCGGGAUUACCACCUUUUUAUAGAAGCUUGUUUAAAAUCUGGGAUUUGUUUAUUGUACAGAGGAAUGGACCAGUAACUUCUCUCCAUUGGUUAUUGCAAGAGCCAUUGGUCUUUGGAGCACGUUUGGACAUUACUGCUUAUGGAUUUCAUGCACUCACGAGAAUUCUUCUCAACUCUAAGACAGUGACUUUAAGAAAUGUUUUUGAUCUUGCUGGACCAAACUUUGUAGACAUAAAGAAGGUGGCAGACCAUUUGGGGGUUAGGUCUGUUCGGGCAACUGCUCAAUUUUUGGAUAAAUGGCGGGCUGUUCUAACAGUAGAUGAUUUUAAGAUGUUGGGAGAGUAUUGUGUAGAGGCAGCUAUUCCAAAUGAGCAAGACAGGUUUCCAGAUUUGAUCCUCUCACCAAAGCUGGAUGGGAGCAUAGGUCCGUUCUUAGAGCCUGAGAUGACAUUGGUUUUAAGCAGUGUCAGUGGGAAACAGUUGUAUCAGGCCUGUGUGAAAGUUUUUAAUAAAAGAGUUUUAAAUGAUAAAGUUGACACACCUUGGCGCACAGUUCUUAGACUGGGUCAAGAUAUAAGACCAGAAUGGAGGUCACUGUAUAAACCACCUUUAGACAAAAGGGUGGGUGACUUACAGUGGAGGAUUCUGCACGGGGCUAUAGCAGUAAAGGCUUUCAUUUCAGUGUUAAACCAGGAGGUUGAUCAGGAAUGUCCUUUUUGUCCUCAAAGAGAGACUAUCUUCCAUGCUUUCGUGCAAUGCAUACGAUUGAAGCCUUUGUUUGUGGUUUUAGAGCAUUUAUUUAAUUGUUUUUACAAAGUGUUUACUAUGGAGACUUUCAUUUUUGGUUUUAAAUAUGUGCAACGAAGACAAAAUGAAUUUAAACUGUUGAAUUUUAUUUUGGGCCAAGCCAAAAUGGCCAUUUAUCUAAGUAGGAAAAACAAGGUCAACAAUCAAUCUGGCGAUGAUGCACUUAUUCUAUUUUCUGCUUUGAUAAAGUACAGGAUUUUGAUUGAUUUUCGGUUUUACAAGCUCAUGCAAGACCUUGAGUCUUUUGAGAGUAUAUGGUGCAUCCAUAGAGCUCUAUGUACUGUCGUUGACAAUUAAUUGAUUUUUGUACAUUUUGUCU
ensembl:lncRNA